rnacentral:tRNA from 1 species
GGGGCCUUAGCUCAGCUGGGAGAGCGCCUGCCCCGCACGCAGGAGGUCAUGGUUCAAAUCCGAUAGGCUCCA